rnacentral:lncRNA from 1 species
GAGAGUGCAUGUCCAUCAAGGUCACGCUUGAGACUAGCAGAGGCGAAACCAGCGGGAAGACGACUUCGCCACCAAGGGCGGGCGGGCCUGCUGGGAUACUCCGGGUGAGUGGGACGCACUGGGCGGGGUUUCGCCGUUCCGAGGAUGUCGGGGAAGGGGGGUCACUGCCAGAUGGAGGUUCCGGUUCCGGUGCAGUGUCUGGCUGGUUGCGUUGCUACGGCAGCGCGGUUGAGCGCUCUCGUCUGUGUGAUCGGGGCUUCGCUGACUUUCCGGCCUACUUAAGCCCCUGGGCCUGGGCCCAGGAAGGGUUUGUUGAACCAGGAGCUAAGAAGGGAAUUGGCUCGUUCGACAGACGUUUUCUGCGCAGCUGUGGCGUGCAAGGCACGGGGCCGGUGCGGGACCUCCAGAGAGACCUGUGCCCAAAGCUUGAGAAAUGAGAAGCAGAUUCCUGGAUUCCAGGUAAAUCAGAGGAACAAACCUGAACAGAAAUAUACAGGAAGUGAUGUGAUGCUGAAGCUUAACGCUUAUUUCAGAAGUCUGGUAUCUGGUGCUCUUAACAGCAAAAACUAUAUUAUUUGCAAAAUCACCACGCUUUUACUUGUAUUAUAUAGUAAUUUUUAAAAAAAUAAAUAUUGACAAUUUGUUCUUGAAA